UUACUCAUUUUUUUAUAUCACUUCAAAUAUGGGUGCUUUCUCCCUCUAUACCCCAUGCAGACUGUGGGCUCCAUGAAGUCAAGAAUCAUUUUGCACAUUUCUUGUAUCAGUUGUAGUAUUAAGCACAAUAUUGGAUGUUUGUUGAUUGACAAGCUGUUUCUCCAGCUUGCAAACAAUGAAAACCAUUUCCCAAACUCUUUUUUUUUCUCCUGUUAAUUUGGGUGUUAGCUAGCAUCAUCUUAUAAGCCAAACAAUUAUUAGAGUUACUAGAAGCAACACAAAAUAUGCUCCCAAGUUCAAUAAGCAAAAGCAAUUGAUCUAAAUGACAAGCUCCAUGUACUGAAAGAGGCCAUGCAUUCAUCUUUCUGUGGGAUCAAUUUGGGGCAGAUGCCAUAUCACUUUUCUUGUAAAACAAGCAGUGAUUUUGUGUUCACUAUAAUGGAUGUAUUCUAUUUCUACAUCUUGAAUCAACAUGGCUUUUACCUGAGUUUACUAAUAAUAGCUACAUUUAUUGAGUGCCUACUAUGCAGAGGUGUGCUGAUAAAUAGGCUCUCGAGGGAAAAAAAAUCCCUGCUUUGUAGCAUCUCCUGAUAUCCAUGGAGGAAACACUCUAGCCACAGUUAAUUUCAAGCUCCCAACAUGACAUAAUUGACCGCACGGACAGCCCCACCUCCUCUACUAUGGCUGGUGCUAUACAUGUAUUAGCAAUAAUUUUCACAGUGUCCCUGCAAAGAAGACAUUAUUCUUCCCAUCCUGCUGAUGAGAGAACAGGCUUGGAAAACACUUUGCCCCAAAUCGCACAGCUAGGAAGAGGUGACCUAGGGUUUAAACCAAGGUCCACAUGAUUCCCAAACCUCUCAUCUUUCCAGGACACCACAUUUCCUUGCCAUGCCACUGGGAAUGAAUGGAUGGGUGUGGUGGCCCGCUAGUCACAAAUCCUGGCAGGACUGGGUGAGUGGCAUGGUGUCCAGAGACCCAAGAGUACCCAAGUACUAUGGACCCAACCUGAAGAGACAUGGACUUUCUCACAGCUUACAAGAUGCCGCCCAUCGGGCUAGUCGGGCAGUUGUUACCUUGUUUGGUUCUGGCACGUUUCCAUGUGAUGUCAUUAACCCGGCCAUGUGGUACUUACCACAUGUCCAGCAGCACCAUGUGUUGUCACCGUGUCCAGGGGAGACUGUGGAAGGAGGGGAGCCCCUCACAGGAGGGGGUGGAAAGGACACAGCCAUGCCUGUCCCUCCAACAUUUUGCUGGCCACCCAAGUGCGUCAACUUCAGCAAUGCUGUCGUGUGAGCAGAAAGGGGAUUUUCAGCACAGCCCAAAGGUAGUUUCAAAUGACUUCUGCUGGUUAGGUUUCUUUCUUCUGGUACCUCCAGGUCUGCCAACUUCUCCCUGCCUUUAAAACUGGGUACAAUGGUGUUCCUUUCUUUAUAUCCCCAGAGGAUUAAUGCAUUAAUGUCUGUGAAGGCUGUAAAACCCUCAGAUGACAGGAAGUGUACAAAUACAUAAUGCUUUUUUAUUAUGCAUGUUAAAUGUACGUAGGUCUUUUGGUGGUAUUUUCCUCCUGUGACUUGGUUUUCUGGAUGUGACAGCUUGCUAUCAUAAGACUCAGAUGUAACCAGAGCAAACAAAAUAAUUCCUUUCCAUAUUCAUUGCUGUUGUAAAAGGGUCUUGUGUUAUGAAAGGAUGAUAAUGACAAAAAUAAUAAUACCUGUGUCUAGGUAACACCUUUCUUCUGAGGAGCUCAAAGCACUUUACAGACACAAGAAGAGUCAUCAACAGACAAUUUAUAGGGAAAAAAAAUUGACUCAUGUUUUAAGAAGUUACUCUGUGGGGGAUAAUGGUUCUGUUAUUUUCACAAAUUGACUGGCAAACACAAUAUCUAUUUCUGGUCUAAACCAGGAAUAAAAGUGCCAUGUAGGAGGGAAGCAGGGGGACUUGGGGUGAGCAAAGGGAUCAAGAGAGCUCUUCUUCUGGUCAUUUACCUGAACACAGUCUAGACGUAGUCUGGAACAAUCCUGACCCUAAGUGACCCGGUGACAAAAGGCUGCUCAUUGGCCUGGAAGUUACUAUGAAGACACAACUGCCUGGGAGACCUUCCUGGGGGUCCAGAUGGAGCUUGUUGGAUCACCCCAGCAGAUGCUCAGGAUGUUGAAGCUGGGAACUUGCCCACAGAGCAUCUCUCCUAAAUGAAUUGUAGGCCCCACCUGCUUCUUAAAUAUUUCCCUCCUGCAUUUCCCUAAGACUUCUUGGUUUACCUCCUGAUAUUCACCCCAAAUCCUCAAGCCACACACCACCAGCUGCAGAUCUCAGAGGUGACUUGGAUCAGAUUGUAGAAAAUCUGAUCAUGUACAGAGCAGCCACUCUGUAAAGCACAGCCCUGGGCACCUGGGGGAAGAGGGGGGAGGAUGGAAAGGGGGAAAAUAUUGAUGAAGUAACAUAGUAGGUAUUGUACCAGGUUUAUUACAAAUACUGUCUCAUUUGAUCCUCAUCAAAAGACCCAGUGGGAGUUUCUGUUGUGGCUCAGCAGGUUAAGGACUCAAUGUUGUCUCUGUGAGGAUGUGGGUUCAAUCCCUGGCUUCACUCGGUAGGUCAAGGAUCUUGUGUUGCUGAAAGCUGCAGCAUAGGUCAUAGAUGCAGCUAAGAUCUGGCAUUGCUGUGGCUGUGGCAUAGGCCCCAGCUGCAGUUCCCAUUCAGCCUCUAGCAUGGGAACUUCUAUAGGCUGCAGGUGCAGCCAUAAAAAGAAAAAAAAUAAAAAAGACCCAGUGAUGGGAACAUGUUAUUCCCAUUUUCAGAUGAGGGAAUCAAGGCUUAGAGAGGUUAAAUCAUUUUUCAAAGGCCACACAGCUAUCAAGAGGCAGAAUCAGGACAAAAAAUUCAGGACAACCUGGUCUUUCCUCUUUAGUAGGAACUUUGGGAGAGGACCUGAGGGGAAGUUGAUUGCUACUGGCUAGAGAAGGCAUUGCCUUAAAGAUUAUGGUUAAGAGGUGGAAACUGAGAAAUUGCCACAAACCCAGGGUAUAUGGAGACCAACAUUCCAGCAGUUAUGAACAGAAUAAACUGCAGAUGAGAGAGAGACUGAGAGAAGGGAAGUUGGCAGGAUGUCUCUGGAUAAGAGAUGAUGGAGCAGGCAUCACCCAGAUGAGGAAGGCAGAGUCUGCAGAACACUGUAGAGAAAGAACUUUGAGGGUGGAUUAUCUGUGGGAUAAAAGAGUCAAAGAUGUCACUGGUGUCAAAGAUGACACAGGGUGGUGGAUCUUAAUGUACGUUGAGUCAAGACCCUUUUGAUAUUCAAAUAAAAGCAGUGCCAACCCAGUCUGGCCCAGUGUCUCCAGGAAAACCCCAGGCCACACCUGCACCAUCUCCAGCUGUUCCUGCCAAGGCAGCCCUGGCCCCAACCUGCCCCUCUCCAGCUCAGCUGACCUGCCCAAACCACUGGUACACACAGUCUAUGUAUGACACGGUCCUGCACAAGGUGACACUUUCAAGACAAGGAGAGGAAGCUGUUUCACUUAAUUCAUAGAAACAAAUACAGGGAGUCAAAAAAAUGGAGAGACAGAGAAAAAUAUUCCAAAUGAAAGAAUAAGGUAAACCACAGGGGGACAAAAGACCUCUAAUGAAAUGGAGAUAAGUAAUUUACCUAAUAAAGACUUCAAAGAUUAUGAUCAUAAAAAUGCUCACUGAGCUCAGAAGAUUGGAGGAAUGCAAUGAGAACUUCAACAAACUGUCAUAUAUAUGUUUAUAUUAAUAUCAUAUUUAAUAUUAAUCAUCCUAAAAUGGGUAUAGAGUCACAAAAGACACCAAUCCCAAAAACAAUCUUGAGAAAGAAGAACAGAACUGAAGGAAUCACGUUCCCUGAUUUCAGAAGUAUACUAGAAAGGUACAGUAAUCAAAACAGUAUGGUAAUGGCACAAAAACAGACACAUAGAUCAAUGGAACAGAAUAGAGAUCCCAGAAAUAAACCCACACUUCUAUGGUUAAUUAAUCUAUGACAAAGGAGGCAAGAAUGUACAGUGGAGAAAAGACAGUCUCUUCAAUAAGUGGUGUUGGGAAAAUUAGACACAUACAUGUGAAAGAAUGAAGCCAGACCACUUUCUUACACCAUGCACAAAAAUAAACUCUACAUGGAUUAAAGACUUGUAAGACCUGAAACCAUAAAAUUCCUAGAAGAAAACACAGGCAGUACACUCUUCGACACUAGUCUUAGCAAUGUUUUUUUGGAUCUGUCUCCUUGAGCAAGGGCAAUAAAAGCAAAAAUAAACAAAUGAGACUACAUCAAACUAAAAGGCUUUUGUCCAGUGAAGGAAACCAACAAUAAAAAGAAAAUGCAACCUACUGAAUGGAAGAUGGUAUUUUCAAAAGAUAUAUCCAUUAAGAGGUGAGUACUCAAAAUAUAUAAAGAAUUCAUACAACCUAAUAUUAAAAAAUCUGACUAAAAAAUGAGCCGAGGACCUGAACAGGCAUUUUCCAAAGAAAAAACUAGAGAUGGCCAACAGGUACAUGGAAAGAUGCCAGGCAUCGCUAAUCAUCAGGGAAAUGCAAAACAAAACCAUGAUGAGAUAUCAGCUCACACCUUUGUUAGACUGGUCAUUUCAAAAUGAUAAGAAAUAACAAGUGUUGGUAAGGAUGUGUGGAAAGGGGAACAUUUGUGCACUGCUGGUGGGAAGGUAAAUUGGUGCAACCACCAUGGAAAACAGUACGGGGGUUCCUCAAACAACUAAUAGAAUUAGCAUGCAAUCCAGAAUUCAACUUGUGGGUAUUUAUCCAAAGAAAAUGAAAACACCCAUUCAAAAAGAUAUACACCCCCCCCAAUGUCCAUAGCCACAUUAUCUAUAAUAGCCAAGAUACAAAAGCAGCCUCAGUGUCCAUCAACACGUGAAUGAAUGAAUGAACAGCAGCAGGGAGUGAGGAUGGGCAAAAUAGGUGAAGGGGAUUAAGAGGUACAAACUUCCAGUUAUAAAAUAAAUAAACCCCGGGAUGUAAUGUACAGCAUAGGGAAUGCGGUCAAUGAUACUGUAAUACGUUGGUACAGUGACAGAUGGUAACUAGACUUCCAGUGGUGGUGUUUUCAUAAUAUAGUACAAUACCAAAUCACCAUGUUGUCUGCCUGAAAGGAAUAUAAUAUCGUAUGAUUCAAUUAUUUGAAAUUAUUCUAAAUAAUUUGGAAGGUCCCAUAUUUUACUGCCUUGUGAAAUAAAACUUCUUCACUAUGAACAAAAAUGAAGGCAGUGGAUCCUUCUACAAAAUGCACACAGCCCACUCAAACACAGACAUUUUUUCGAAGAGUUUCUGGUUCUAGGUCAGGGACCCUAGCUCUGGGAGGAGCCGACCAGAGCGGGAACAUCAGUACCAUGUAUUUUGGGCUUGGAAGUUUGUCUUUCUGCAAAGAAAGGUGGGAAAGACAAAGCAAAGUCAGGAAGGCUCAGGGCACCUGGAGAAGAAAGCAAGAAAGGUCCUCAGCAGUGGUUUCUCUCUGUGUAGAGGAGAAAUAAGAAGCCCUCAGAUCCAACUCAGAACCCACUUGGCUUCCCCCAAUUUAAUGUUGACGCUGCCAGUGUGAGAGCAGCCCGCUACCGCCACCCUGCCCCCAACCCAGGGGCCUCAAAACCUACCCUCAUGAAGGCACUGGGGGAAGAUGUAGCUAGUGGUGUUUACUUCAUCCUGUCCACGCUACAUUGGUGGAGAUGGUUAUUUCACUCUUUAAUUACUGUUCUGUUUUAGCCCUUGUAUCUGAAAUACCUUGAUUUUCUUUAAUAUCCAUUGUCUAGAGCUUUGCUUUUUCCUAAGAACCUGAUAAUUAUUCGCAUUUCCAUGUAUCGGGAGGGUUUAGUACAUUUUAUUUGUAGGAAACUGAUCUCCAAGGAUUUCUUUUUGAAAACGCCUUUCCCUCUCAAUAUACAUUCCUUCC
rnacentral:lncRNA from 1 species